rnacentral:tRNA from 1 species
GUUAAGGUGGCAGAGCCCGGAAAAUGCAAAAGACCUAAGCCCUUUGAACAGAGGUUCAAAUCCUCUCCUCAACU